GCGAAGCAAAAAUGUCUGCCUAAGGGAAACUCGCAAGUUACAUACAGGGGAUAUUUGCAAAAUAUAAUUCUUUCAAGGUUGAAAUCGUUGUCUGUCAGACGCGCAAAAGGAAGACAAGUCAACUAUAGGCACACCAGAUCGCCCUAGUUGGAUUUUCAAACGAGAAAAGAUGUUCUCCCCACCAGUAAGCAGUGGGAAGAACCGGCCGACCACCCUUGCAAGCAGUCAGUUCACCACUGCAGGUAUGGAUGAGCGGAC